CCUACGGGAGGCAGCAGUGAGGAAUAUUGGUCAAUGGACGAGAGUCUGAACCAGCCAAGUAGCGUGAAGGAUGACUGCCCUAUGGGUUGUAAACUUCUUUUAUAUGGGAAUAAAAUGUUCCACGUGUGGGAUUUUGUAUGUACCAUAUGAAUAAGGAUCGGCUAACUCCGUGCCAGUAGCCGCGGUAAUACGGCGGAUCCGAGCGUUAUCCGGAUUUUUGGGGUUUAAAGGGAGCGUAGGUGGAUUGUUAAGUCAGUUGUGAAAGUUUGCGGCUCAACCGUAAAAUUGCAGUUGAAACUGGCAUUCUUGAGGACAGUAGAGGUGGGCGGAAGUCGUGGUGUAGCGGUGAAAUGCUUAGAUAUCACGAAGAACUCCGAUUGCGAAGGCAGCUCACUGGACUGCAACUGACACUGAGGCUCGAAAGUGUGGGUAUCAAACAGGAUUAGAUACCCCUGUAGUC
rnacentral:rRNA from 1 species